rnacentral:rRNA from 1 species
UAAAAAGCAAUUAAGGGCACUUGGUGGAUGCCUUGGCGUUAGUAGGCGAUGAAGGACGUGGCAGGCUGCGAUAAGCCUCGGGGAGCUGUCAACAAGCUUUGAUCCGAGGAUCUCCGAAUGGGGGAACCCACUCAUUUAUGAGUAUCUCUAGUUGAAUUCAUUAGAUUAGAGAGGCGAACCUGGUGAACUGAAAUAUCUCAUGUAACCAGAGGAAAGGAAAUCAACCGAGACUCCGUUAGUAGUGACGAGCGAACGCGGACCAGGCCAGUGUUAUCAAUGUAAAAAUCAGAACAAGUUGGAAAUCUUGACCACAGAGGGUGAUAGUCCCGUACGAGUAAAAAGCAUUGGUAAACUCGAGUAAGACGGAACACGAGAAAUUUUGUCUGAAGAUGGGAGGACCACCUUCCAAGCCUAAGUACUAACUAGCGACCGAUAGUGAACAAGUACCGUGAGGGAAAGGUGAAAAGAACCCCGAUAAGGGGAGUGAAAUAGAUACUGAAACCAAGUGCCUACAAGCAGUUAGAGCUUAUUUAUUAAGUGAUAGCGUACCUUUUGUAUAAUGGGUCAGCGAGUUAGUUUAUUAUGCAAGCUUAAGCCUUUUAGGUGUAGGCGUAGCGAAAGCGAGUCUGAAUAGGGCGAUAAGGCAUUUAUUUGCUGGGUAGUAUGAUGAAUUAGACCCGAAACCAGGUGAGCUAGCCAUGGGCAGGUUGAAAGCAAGGUAAGACUUGCCGGAGGACCGAACACACUAAUGUUGAAAAAUUAGGUGAUGACCUGUGGUUAGGGGUGAAAGGCCAAUCAAACCUGGAUAUAGCUGGUUCUCCACGAAAUCUAUUUAGGUAGAGCGUCAUGUGAUUAUCAACGGGGGUAGAGCACUGUCAAGGCUAGGGGGUCCAAAAGACUUACCAACCCUUAACAAACUCCGAAUACCGUUGACUGCAGCAUGGCAGACAGACUAUGGGUGCUAAGGUCCAUAGUCGAGAGGGAAACAGCCCAGACUGCCGUCUAAGGUCCCCAAAUUAUCACUAAGUGGAAAAGGAGGUGAGAAAGCCAAAACAACCAGAAGGUUGGCUUAGAAGCAGCCAUCCUUUAAAGAAAGCGUAAUAGCUCACUGGUCUAAUUAAGCUUUCUUGCGCCGACAAUGUAACGGGGCUAAAGUGAUAUACCGAAGACGCAGGGUUUGCCCUUUUGGGCGACCGGUAGUGGAGCGUUGUGUAAGCUGUUGAAGGUGAAUCGUAAGGUUUGCUGGAGGUAUCACAAGUGAGAAUGCUGACAUGAGUAACGAUUAAAAGUGCGAGAAACACUUUCGCCGAAAAUCCAAGGUUUCCUGUGUAAAGCUAAUCUUCGCAGGGUUAGUCGGCUCCUAAGGCGAGGCCGAAAGGCGUAGUCGAUGGAAAUCAGGUUAAUAUUCCUGAACCUGAGGGUGAGUGACGGAGCGAACAUCUUGUAUUCUCUUAUCGGAUUGAGAAUGCUGGAUUUAGCUUCCAGGAAAUAGCCCCCUCAUAAAGGCCGUACCAAAACCAACACAGGUGGAUGGGUUGAGUAUACUAAGGCGUUGAGAGAACUAUUCUGAAGGAACUAGGCAAAUUGCAUCCGUAACUUCGGGAGAAGGAUGGCCUCUUUGUGGGCAACCAUGGAGAGGUGGCACAGAAAUGGGGGUAGCGACUGUUUAUCUAAAACACAGGGCUCUGCUAAAUCGUAAGAUGAAGUAUAGGGUCUGACGCCUGCCCGGUGCUGGAAGGUUAAUUGAUGAUGUGCAAGCAUCUGAUCGAAGCCCCAGUAAACGGCGGCCGUAACUAUGACGGUCCUAAGGUAGCGAAAUUCCUUGUCGGGUAAGUUCCGACCUGCACGAAUGGCGUAACGACUUCCCCACUGUCUCCAGAAUAGACUCAGUGAAAUUGAAUUUGCCGUUAAGAUGCGGUAUUCCUGCGGUUAGACGGAAAGACCCCGUGCACCUUUACUAUAGCUUUGCAUUGAAUUUGGAAAUAAGAUGUGUAGGAUAGGUGGGAGGCUUUGAAGCUUGGUCGCUAGAUCAGGUGGAGCCAUCCUUGAAAUACCACCCUUUUUAUUUCUAAGUUCUAACCAUGACAUAUUAUCGAUGUUUGGGACAAUGCAUGGUGGGUAGUUUGACUGGGGCGGUCGCCUCCUAAAGAGUAACGGAGGCGCGCAAUGGUAGGCUCAAACUGGACGGAAAUCAGUUGUAGAGUGUAAUGGCAUAAGCCUGCCUGACUGCAAGACUGACAAGUCGAGCAGAGACGAAAGUCGGUCAUAGUGAUCCGGUGGUUCUGUGUGGAAGGGCCAUCGCUCAACGAAUAAAAGGUACGCCGGGGAUAACAGGCUGAUGAUUCCCUAGAGUCCAUAUCGACGGAAUCGUUUGGCACCUCGAUGUCGGCUCAUCACAUCCUGGGGCUGAAGAAGGUCCCAAGGGUUCGGCUGUUCGCCGAUUAAAGUGGUACGUGAGCUGGGUUCAGAACGUCGUGAGACAGUUCGGUCCCUAUCUGCCGCAGGUGUUUGGAAAAUUGAGAGGAGCUGACUCUAGUACGAGAGGACCGAGUUGGACAUACCAAUGGUGUACCAGUUGUUCUGCCAAGAGCAUCGCUGGGUAGCUAAGUAUGGAAAGGAUAACCGCUGAAAGCAUCUAAGCGGGAAGCCAACCUCAAAACUAAUUUUCCCCAUUAGGGUCGUGGAAGACUACCACGUUGAUAGGCUGGGUGUGUAAGUGCAGCAAUGCAUUAAGCUAACCAGUACUAAUAACCCGAUUGGCUUUUUAAC